rnacentral:tRNA from 1 species
GGCAUCAUGUACGGCAACUGGGUGGCUCCGGCACUGGGAGUGCCGUGGAACAUCGGCCAGUUCGUCGUUGGCAUGAUACUG